rnacentral:rRNA from 1 species
UAGGGAAUCUUCGGCAAUGGACGAAAGUCUGACCGAGCAACGCCGCGUGAGUGAAGAAGGUUUUCGGAUCGUAAAGCUCUGUUGUUGGUGAAGAAGGAUAGAGGCAGUAACUGGUCUUUAUUUGACGGUAAUCAACCAGAAAGUCACGGCUAACUACGUGCCAG